rnacentral:lncRNA from 1 species
ACAUUAGCUCCUAAGCAACUUGGAGAGGCUGGACCCUGGGGCAUGUCUACGAAGGAGAAACCAUGCAGCGUCCUUCUACCCUGUCAGGCCUGGAACUGUGAAUGGACCGAAGACCAGUGGGGCCUUCAGCUACUGGCCUGGACCCUUGGAAGCAAACUUGUUUUUCUGUGAUUCACCAGAAACUCUCAGGAUGAGAGUAUCUCAGUCUUCCAAGGUUUGGCUUCAUUGACCCACUAAGAAGCACGAUCCCAUGCCCAAGGGAAGCUCAUUAAAACAGGAAGUAAGCAAUUCAAAACAGUUUCAGGAAGUUCCUGAAACUGACCAGAUUCACUAAGAUCCUCCCUCUCCAAGAGUACAUAAAUAGUAAAGACUAUGGAAACUCACUGUUAAACAAGCUAAGAGGCCUGGAAGUCAUCAAUAAUGAGAAGAAAGCCUUUUCACUCCUCCAAGAUAUUGACUUCAGGAGGAGAGAUCAAUAGACUCACAGAAACUAGAAAAGAUUCUCGGGCAGCCGGAAUUGGCCAAUUUUGAACAGCUGUUCUCGAGACAUCUUAUUGUUAUCGUUCCACUGAUGUCCAUUGCAGGGAGUCGACAGUCAAGAUGCACAAAAGUCAUACAAUAAUAGUGAAUGAUAAUCACAGGCAACCUUCAAGUGCUCACUCUGUGUCAUACACACAGGAAGUGAGAUGAAGAGAUUAAGGAAUUAUCCAAGAUCACACAGCCUGAACAGUGAGGGACUCCAACCCUGGGACUUCAUUUCUGUUCACUGGUGCACAGAGUAUUUAAUGUAGAUGCUAAUUAACUGAGUCAAUGGUUUCCUAUUGCAGAGCGUCACAAUCAACAGCAUCCUUUCAUAUACAAGGCAUUUUGAUUGGACAGUUUCCUCAAAUGAAUAGGCAAGCAUUGGUUGCUGUUUCCCUGUGCUUUCCUCUUUUUCUAGUUGGGGGUCAGAGAAUUAAGUAGUAAAAGGGCAAAGACUCAGACGCAUCUAGUUUACUCAUGAGACUAUAGCAGUAUUUCAUUGACUAGUUAUAUUCCUUUCUGAAUUGGGGAAAGGUAGACACACACUGGAUUUUGUUUUCUUUGGUUUUUUUUGUUUGUUUGUUUGUUUUGUUUUGUUACAUUCCUACAGACAGGUAGACACACUUGAUUUUUUUUUUUUGAGGUUUUUGUUUCUUUGCUUGCUUUUGAAGAUGCAGACAUUAAAAAAUUUAGUUAUUUUAAUGUCCAAAUAGAAUAGGUAUACAAAGGUUUAAUCUGUGGAAAGAAAAGACAUUCAAACAAAGUAGGAAUAUAAGAGGGAGCUGCAAAUCCCAAUGAGCUAUUACAUCAUACACAUUAGCAAGCUACAAUAAAACCUUGGCAAGGGUGUGGAGACUCUGAACCAUCUACACUCUUGGUUUCCAGUGAUACAGCUACUGUGGAAAAUAAUAUGCUAGUUCCUGGAAAGAUUAAAACAGAACCACCAUAGUAGCUGCUUCUUUCACAUCAUAGCUAGUUUUGUAUCUAUAACAAAAUACCCAUGUAAUCAGCUCAAAGAAAUAAACGAUUAUUUGUCCUCAGGUUUCACAGCUCUCGGGCCAUGGUUGGCUGGUUCUAUUGCUUAGGAACCUAUGGCAAAGCAGGGGUGUGUUUGUGCAGAUCUGCUUGCCUCAUGAUGCCCAAGAAGCAGAGAGUAAAUAGUAAGAAAUGUCUAGGAGCAUGACAUACCCAAAGGUAUGGAUACUUGUUUGGCAUCUUGUAGAACUAUGAGAGCUAGUCCUCAGGGAGGAAGGUUUUAGAUCAGAUCCAGGUCAGUUCCUCCAGGUCCUGUGUCUUUGGUAAUAGGGACUUACUUUCAGCCUCUAGGAGGAAACCAAGGGCAGCAGCAAUAUCGUAUGUUUUGGAGAUCUCUUGGACUUUUAAUUCCUAAUCAAUUCAAGGAUUAGAUCAGAGUCCUCAUAAUCCACUCGCUUCUUAACAGUGCCACCAGUUAGGGACUAAGUCUUAACACAUAACAUUUGGAGGUACUUCAUGUCCAAACUACAUCCAGAUAACAUCUAAAAAAAUUGAAGUUAGAGUCUUAAAGAGGGAUUUAUGUUUUCCUAUUCACAGUAGUACAACUUAUCAGUCACACUAGUAGUAGUUACCCCAGAGAUCAUUGAUGCCUGUGUUAGCUAAUUCCCUCCUUACUGACAUUGAGACCAAAGACAGAAGUAACUUAAUGGCAGCUACAUGUUUUGAGUUAUGUUUUGAGAGGACAUGGUCCAUUAUGGAAGGGAAUUAAUGGUGGCAGGGACAUGAAGUAGCUGGUCACACUGUACCCACAGUCAGAAAGCAGAGAAAGUUAGAUGCUAUGUUCAGUCCUCUUUCUCCAUUUUCUCUGUCUGGGACCUUCUUGCUGGCUCAUUUGGUCUGAGCCUCAUCUGGGCAGGUCAGCAUAUCUGAGAGUCUUCUGAGCAGCUUCUCUGUCCUCUGCUUCUUCCAAGCAGUUUUGCUUUUCUGAGAGUGAUUCUCAGAAGUCUUGACUGCAGUAUUUCAGAUCUCCCUUAGACUAUUCCUGCUGUUUUGCCUCCCUAUUCAUACCCUAUGUGUUAGAGAGUUUCCCCCCAAGAAAGUUUUAAUUUCAAAAGAAACUGCUAUGCAAUACAAAGGAAGAUAGUCCUCUGUAUCCUGUCCCUGUGUGCUUCUAAGGAUGUUCUUUUUGGGAGUCAAGGGCUUGGUACCCUAAUGUAGCCAUGGAAAUAUUCUGCCAAAAUCUACAGUGGCAAGCAUUUGCUUGGUAUAUCUUUAUUAUAGCAAACUUGUUAACUUAGGAAACAUUUUAGUCCUGAGAGAAGAAAGAAAACAUAUUUAUACUGGGGGAAAUAUUGUCUAUAAAACUGACUUCACUUUACUAGUAGGUGGUAGACUUUCUGGUUCCCCUUGUUUGUCUGUGCUAGACACACUAGGAUCAGCAGCUCCCCAAAGUAAAUGCAAGCUAAGGCCACCUGGGAAAUUACUUGUUACAAUUUUUCUCCAUCAUUCAAAAUGGGACUUCAACAAAGGAGCUAGUUCUUCCAAUGACCCUCAUCUCUGUGCCUUUGUUCCAUGAUCUGUCCUUAGUGGCUCUUAUUCAACAUACCUCUCAGGACCAGGGAGAUGGCUCAGUCAGUAAGCACUUGACUUUAUUUUGUACUGGGAAGGUAGAGACAAGUAGAUCUCUGAGACUCACUUGCAGCCAGUCUAGUUGAAUUGGUGAGUCCGAGGUCAGCAAGCAACUAUGUCCCCAAAAAAGUGAAGUGGAGAGCAAUUAAAGAUGAUACCUGAGUCUGACUAAGUCUUGUCACUCACACACACACAAACAACACUAGCAUGUACACAUACGUGAAAAAAAUUCAAGCAGACACCUUUCAAACCUGACUCUACAAAGUCCUCAGUGUGCUGUGGUUGGCGUGUUUUCCCUCUCAUCACUGGGCUCAGGUUCACUCCUGAUUUACAGGGAGAGUUACUUCCUCCCACCUCCCCAGUCAACCACACUAGAUGGGUUUCACCAGUCUGUCUGCAGGUAGUGCCGCCUGCCCCAGGUUACAGUGGGAAAAUGACGCCUUGAUGUAUGUUUGCUGUGGUUGAUUGAUCCUAUUAACAUUAGCUCUUGGGAAAAUCAAUGCUUCGGUCUUGCAGGAGGUGUAUAAAUAAGAU